rnacentral:tRNA from 1 species
CCUAGUAGUAUCUUGGUGGUGGGAUAAGGCUUAUGACCAUUAGGUCAUGGGUUCGAUUCCCAUUAAGAGGG